rnacentral:rRNA from 1 species
ACACGUGAAACCCUGUGGGAAGCAGGAGGGACCACCCUCCAAGGCUAAAUACUACCUAGUGACCGAUAGCGUAUAGUACCGUGAGGGAAAGGUGAAAAGAACCCCGGGAGGGGAGUGAAAUAGAACCUGAAACCCUGCACUUACAAGCUGUGGAAGCACAUUUCUUGUGUGACCGCGUACUUUUUGUAGAACGGGCCAACGAGUUACGUUAAGUAGCAAGGUUAAGCACUUAAGGUGCGGAGCCGUAGCGAAAGCGAGUUUUAACUGAGCGUUCAGUUACUUGACGUAGACCCGAAACCGGGCGACCUACCCAUGAGCAGGAUGAAGCGAAAGUAAAAUUUCGUGGAGGUCCGAACCCACGAGCGUUGAAAAGCUCGGGGAUGACUUGUGGGUAGCGGUGAAAUUCCAAUCGAGCCCGGAGAUAGCUGGUUCUCCCCGAAAUAGCUUUAGGGCUAGCCUCAAGGUGAGAGAUACGGAGGUAGAGCACUGAAUGUCCUAGGGGGUAUUGCACCUACCGAAGACUAUCAAACUCCGAAUGCCGUCAUCUUAUACUUGGGAGUCAGACUGUGGGUGAUAAGAUUCAUAGUCGAAAGGGCAACAGCCCAGAUCGUCAGCUAAGGUCCCUAAAUGUAAGUUAAGUGGUAAAGGAUGUGGGAUUGCACAGACAACCAGGAUGUUGGCUUAGAAGCAGCCACUCAUUCAAAGAGUGCGUAAUAGCUCACUGGUCGAGUGAUCCUGCGCCGAAGAUUUCCGGGGCUAAAACUU